AUAAUCAUUUGCCUUAUAAUUGAAGGCUAGUAUGAAUGGUUUGACGAGAGCAAUACUGUCUCCUUUUUAUUUUCAAAAACUUAACUUUUAGGUGAAGAGGCCUAAAUUUUAUUGAAGGACAAGAAGACCCUGUCGAGCUUAAAAGACAUUAUAGGAGUCUAAUAUAUUUUUAAAUAAAUUUUCUAUUAGGCUUUUUAGUUGGGGCGACUAGGGAACAAAAAAAGCUUCUUUUUAAUAAAUAAACAAUCAUGUUUAGAUCCGAUAAUAGCGAUCAAAGAAAUUAGUUACCGCAGGGAUAACAGCAUAAUCUCUCUUAAGAGACCUAAUCGAAAGAGGGGGUUGUGACCUCGAUGUUGGACUAGAAUAUCCUAAAGAUGCAGAAGUCUUUAAGGGUCGGUCUGUUCGACCGUUAAAAUUCU
rnacentral:rRNA from 1 species